GGGGAUUUAGCUCAGUGGUAGAGCGCUUGCCUAGCAAGCACAAGGCCCUGGGUUCGGUCCCCAGCUCUU
rnacentral:tRNA from 1 species